rnacentral:lncRNA from 1 species
UAACAAUGUUGUAAAUGCCAUGAUUUUGGAUGUCCUAUACCAUCAGGUGAGAAUUACCAUUUUCUUUAACAUAGGUUAUGCUUGUUUGCUGAUGGAAAUGAUCCAGAAGAGGACAAGUUGACGAUUGAGAGGGUUAAUGUCAGGCAAGAAACUUGAGUGGACAUUGAGGAAAGAGCGAGGUUCAGUGGACUGGAGGUUUGUGGUGGUUUCAUGACACAUGGACUGGAGAUUUGCAGUGGUUUUAUGACACAUGGACUGGAGGUUUGUGGUGGUUUCAUGACACAUGGACUGGAGAUUUGCAGUGGUUUUAUGACACAGCUCCUAAGUUCUUUGACACUCUUCCCAUGGAGGGGUAGGGUCUGUGACCCCCCUCUUGAAGCUGGGUAGGCUUGCAACUGCUUUGGCCAAUAGGUACAGCAGCAGUGAUGCUGUAGGACUUCCAAGGUUAGACCAGAAAAGGGCAUGCCCUCCAAGGAUCCUCACUCUGAUGGGAGCCAGCCAUCAUGUAGAAACUCUACCCUUGGCUGGGUGCGGUGACUCAUGCCUGUAGUGCUAGCAUUUUGGGAGGCCGAGGUGGGCGGAUCACCUGAGGUCAGGAGUUCCAGAAC